UGCAUUUGGGGGGUAUCAUUACAUAAAAUGAUAGUUACAUGAACACAAGCACUGUCACACUGCAACAGUCUGACAACCCAGACAGCAACUGGCUAAUGGCAAUCUGGGCAGGGACAGAGCAGACUGUGCUCCUCAGAAUGGUGCACAAUUUAAAACUUAUGAAUCGCUUAUUUCUGGAAUUUGCUAUUUAUGUCACAGUACUUAUUUGCUAUUUAUGUCACAGUGCUUAUGUCAUUCACCUCACUUCAUCUCAUCGUGUAGGUAUUUUAUCAUCUCACAUCACAAGAAGGAGAAUGGUUAGUUCAGUACACUAAGAUGCUUUGAGAGGGAGACCAAAUGCAAGUCCUCAUGUGUCCGGAAUUGGUGGGAUCUUGGUCUCACUGACUUCAAGAAUGAAGCCAUGGACCCUCGCGGGUCUUGUUCUGUCACCCAGGCUGGAGUGGCAUGAUCGUGGCUCACUGCAACUUCUGCCUCCCAGGCUCCCAGCCUCAAGCGAUCCUCCCACCCCAGUCCCCUGAAGCAACUGGGACCACAGAGUAAUUUCAUGCUGAUGGAAGAAAGGAAGUAAACAGAGUUCCGGAAAGCAACUGCAAAUACUCAUUUUGAAAAACAAAACAAAACAAAAACAAGGGAGACAUUUUAAAAGCAGCCAGAGUGAUCCUUUCAAAAAUGGAUUCAGAAAUCAUGUCACUGCUCUGCCCAAAGUUCUUGAAUGACUUCCCGAUCACUUAGAGCACAAGCUGAAGCUCGACACAUCUGGGACCCAUAAGCUUUUCAUUUCUGCUCCUCCUCCUUUUGCUCACUCUGCCCCUGCCACUUUGGUCUCCUGCUCUCCCGGAACUUGCCCAACGUGUUCCUCCCUCAGGGCCUUCGCAUUUGUCAUUUCCUGUCCUAUGAUGCUCUUCCUGCAGAUAUCUACAGCAGCUCCCCGCUGCUCCUUUUGCAGGUUUUUGUUCAGAUGUCAUCUUCCUGGUGAGCUCUUCCCUGAACGGCUCCUCACCCCCUCCACCUUGCCCCCGAGACUCCCUUUAGCCUUUCUUGGAUUGUUUUCCCUGUAACUCUUGCCACCACCUCAUACAGGGCCUCUCAAGCUUGGCAUGAUUGGCAUUUUGGGAUAGUUCUUUGUUGCGAGCUAUUAUCCUGUGCCUUGCAGGAUGUUUAGCAGCAUCACCACCCUCGACCCACUCAAUACCUGCAACUUUCCUCCCUAGGUUGUGACUGCCAGAAAUGUCUCCAGACACUGCCAAAUGUCUCCUGGGGGACAAAACCACCCCUGGUUGAGAAUCUUUGACAUAAUGUAAAUAUGCAUUUUACCUAUGUAUUUGUUUAUUAUUCCUCCCUUCCCCACCAAUAAAAUAUAAUCUUUACGAGAA